GACGAACGCUGGCGGCGUGCCUAAUACAUGCAAGUAGAACGCACAGUUUAUACCGUAGCUUGCUACACCAUAGACUGUGAGUUGCGAACGGGUGAGUAACGCGUAGGUAACCUGCCUGGUAGCGGGGGAUAACUAUUGGAAACGAUAGCUAAUACCGCAUAAUAUUGAUUAUUGCAUGAUAAUUAAUUGAAAGGUGCAAUUGCACCACUACCAGAUGGACCUGCGUUGUAUUAGCUAGUAGGUGAGGUAACGGCUCACCUAGGCAACGAUACAUAGCCGACCUGGAAGGGUGUCCGGCCCACCGGGAACUGGACAACGGCCCAAAUUCCUACGGGAGCCACAAGAGGGGAACCUCCGGCAAUGACCGAAAGCCUGACGGAGCAACGCGGCGUGAGUGAGGAGGGUGUCGGAUCGUAAAGCUCUGUUGUAAGAGAAGAACGGGUGUGAGAGUGGAAAGUUCACACUGUGACGGUAGCUUACCAGAAAGGGACGGCUAACUACGUG
rnacentral:rRNA from 1 species